rnacentral:rRNA from 1 species
GGGGAAUAUUGCACAAUGGGCGCAAGCCUGAUGCAGCCAUGCCGCGUGUGUGUAGAAGGCCUUCGGGUUGUAAGGCACUUUCAGCGGGGAGGAAGGCGGUGAGGUUAAUAACCUUGUCGAUUGACGUUACCCGCAGAAGAAGCACCGGCUAACUCCGUGCCAGCAGCCGCGGUAAUACGGAGGGUGCAAGCGUUAAUCGGAAUUACUGGGCGUAAAGCGCACGCAGGCGGUCUGUCAAGUCGGAUGUGAAAUCCCCGGGCUCAACCUGGGAACUGCAUUCGAAACUGGCAGGCUAGAGUCUUGUAGAGGGGGGUAGAAUUCCAAGUGUAGCGGUGAAAUGCGUAGAGAUCUGGAGGAAUACCGGUGGCGAAGGCGGCCCCCUGGACAAAGACUGACGCUCAGGUGCGAAAGCGUGGGGAGCAAAC